rnacentral:rRNA from 1 species
AUGAGUGCCUUGACAGCCCCGCUCCUUUUUCCCUCCUGCUUCUCAACCUCUCCUUCUAACGAUCUUCCCUUACCUUUCUCUAUUUUCUCUCAUAGGGAUCCAUGGCGCUGCCGCUUGGAGCUCUGCCUCCUUCGGCCACCUCCUUGCCUCGUCGCCAUCGACCUGCAGAGGGACACGCCAUGGCCACCCUCGUCUUCAAGUCGCGUCGCCCGCGCCCAGAUUUGGCGCCCUCAGCAUGCCCAUGCAUGGGUUCCGCGCAUCCCCGACCUCUCCUGCAACCCUUUAUCAAACUCCAUGGGCAGGCUCCCAUGUUCGACUCUUUGCGCCGCCCCGUUUGACCUCCAGUUCCAGUCCCUCGUCGCCACCGCAUCGCCAGGCGCCUCGUCAUCGGGGAGCACCCCAACACUGUUGUUGUACUCCUCUUCUUUCUUCUCUCUCCCCCCCCCUUUUCCUUUCCCGUCACUCUCCAAGUUCUCUGAACUCUCUGUCUUUCUUCAGGAGUUGCAGCAACCUUCGAGUUUGAGCAGCCACCUCCUGCACGGAUCGAGGACCUCCUGUUGCUCGGAUCUGGACGCCGCUGAGCUCCCGCGUCGGAUCGGACUCCUCCGCACAUCCCCGACCUCUGGCCUCGCCGUGCCGUCCCCGUGCAGGUUCCUGCCUCUGCCUCAUCCUCGUCCGAGCAGAGGACGACUGCUUCUUCAUCGCGCGCAAGGGCUGCAGCCGCGGCAAGGCCCAGCCAGCGUCUCUGCCAGCAGCCUUGCGUCCCCCCAACUGGGCCUCAGCCCACUAGCUUCGGUUUCGUUCCGGAGUUGUGAGGAUCCGUUCAUCUACGUCCAUUUGUCUUCUUCAUGGACUCGUUCUUCUUCCUUGCGGGAUUUCAGGUACGUACCUGAAGCAGCGUCGCCGGCCUGGAGCAGGGAAGCAGCGACGAGGAGCAGGGCAACUGAGAUAGAUACAGGAGCUAGUAGGAGGAGCAACAGAGUGGGAGUGUGGGCGUGA